UAUGUAUUUCUCCGUCCAACAAAAGAUGUCUCAAGUUUUGCCAAAAUUUGAAUAUAUUUAGAUGUGACUUAGUGUAUAGAUGAAUUCAAAUUUAGUCAAAGUUGAGACAUACUUCGUUGGACGGAGGAAGUAGGAA
rnacentral:pre_miRNA from 1 species